GGGCCCGCACAAGCGGUGGAGCAUGUGGUUUAAUUCGAUGCAACGCGAAGAACCUUACCAAGCCUUGACAUCCUCGGAACUUUCCAGAAAUGGAUUGGUGCCUUCGGGAACCGAGUGACAGGUGCUGCAUGGCUGUCGUCAGCUCGUGUCGUGAGAUGUUGGGUUAAGUCCCGUAACGAGCGCAACCCUUGUCCUUAGUUGCCAGCACUUCGGGUGGGAACUCUAAGGAGACUGCCGGUGACAACCGGAGGAAGGUGGGACGACGUCAAGUCAUCAUGGCCCUUACGGCUUGGCUACACACGUGCUACAAUGGGUAAGACAAUGAGUCGCGAGCCUGUGAAGGUCAG
rnacentral:rRNA from 1 species